GAGUUUACAGCAUGGUAGCCUAUUCUUGAAUAUUACACCAAUCAAUAUGUCUUCAGUAUUGUGAAUUUGUGACUGCAAUCUUGUUCCUUAAUGUGUAUGUCUCUUUUGCUUUAGCAUGAUUUCUUGCUGAGUUGUUCUGGGAUGUGUAGCCACCAGUCUUUUCGAAUUCAUUUUGCCUACAUAAGCUUUACUGUUCUUUGUAGUUUUUAAUCUGUUGUUAUUUAUGUAUCCACAUCUU
rnacentral:misc_RNA from 1 species